CUAAAAGUGGUUUAGGUUAUUUGAUUCUCUUUUUUUUAUAUUUUGCGUUUUGUUUGAAAUUUUUUAAAAUGGAUUUGGAUUGGUUAAUUACCUUCGUGUUGGGUUGCGUUCUUGGCUUUGUCGUUGGAUUACAUUCUUAGGUGUAAUCGAAAGAAGUCAAAUAAUUUUGAGGAAGACAACGUUACGGCACGCUACAUUUGUUGUGCAUUUUCUUAUCCAAAAAGUGAUGAAACUGUAUUUUAACAUACACUAGCCGAAUAGUCCAAGAAGUACAGUCAUGAGUCACGUUAUAUCAUUUGCACUCGGCAUGAUAACAGGUUUGAUGUUGUGUAAGCAGCGACGUUGCGGUCCUGAUAACUGAUGGCAACCCAAUCAAAAUUAUACAUGAAAAUCUUAAUUAAAAUUAAUAUGCGAAAUUUUCGUGCGGAGCACAUGUACAAAUUACAAUAAAAUUGAAUUAGGGAUAUGUAAGAAACUUAAA